GCUAAUAGGGCUGCUAUUGCAGGCUACUUUGAUAUAGUAGAAUGAGAACAAAAUUGUUCCGUUAGUA
rnacentral:tRNA from 1 species